GGUGCUGCGCUGAAAUGAAUCCCCCUUCAUUUCCAGUCUUAUCGAAAUGAAUGCUUCUAGGUGUUAUUUUAGGGCUAGUUCUACAGAAAGGGCGAAGACGUGCCCGCGGGAGGGGAGCCUUGAGCUGCAGGGUGGGCACCGACCCGCUGAGCUGGGGCUGAAGGACCAAGAGCAGAACUGACGACUCGUGGCUCGGCCUAACGUUUGUCGGCAGGUUGAUGCGUUGCCAUUCUCACUCAACACGCUUGUGAGGAAGGCCUGUUAGCAAGUCAAAUGCUUGAUCUUUGCUGUUCUGCUCUUUACUGAAGGCAGGGCUACAUGUGGCUGAGCAGUCUGCAACAGAACAGCGAGAAGGGGACACAAAAAGUGUGCUUACAAGAAUCAAAACAUGAAGGUAUGCAGAGAGCAAAACUAACGCAUUCCCUCACAUGUGGACUGAAACAUCCCACCAGUGCUGGAGCAGAAGCUGAGGAGCCCUGUGGUGUGAGAGGUGUCUGAAGGCUCCGAGAAGGUGGACAGGCCUCAAGGCAGAAUCUUGCUGAGAACAACACUGAGAAUGAACAACAUUUAACACGACAACUGAAAUCUUUGGAAACUGUUUACACAGCCUUAAAGCACAAAAAGCUGCUUGAGAGCAUUCUGUUGGCCUUUAGCACAUGUCAUUCCUGUGACUUGGACGUAGCACUUUGACAAGCUCUUGGACUCCUGUUUAGCAACAAAGCCCUGUGACAUUUUGGAGUGGUGCUGUGUCAGAAGCUUUGGUCUGAGUAUUCUUCAACCUUUCCAGGUCAACUGCGUUGAGUUUAAGAGGUCUAGGCUGCUUUUUGAAAGAUGCUGUGAAACCUGCAGCUUCGAUUUGGCAUUUGAUCUCUUCUGCUGUAAUUAGAUGAGGCUGAUACACAACAACAGCUUCCUGAUUGUCCAAGGACACUGAAAAUUGAACAAUAAAAAGGAGUGUGCAUUACUGCCUUAAGCAUAACAAGCAUUCUUCUGUAAGAGCAAUAGAUGUCAUCAAGGGUUACAAAAAAUGCUUCAAAUAUCCAGAAAAUUAACUGGAAUGGAAAGAAGAUUUAAGUGGCCCAGUACAUUUCAAUGUUUCAAAGUGAUUUAAGUUCAGUCAUUAAUUGUCUGAACAAUGCCACAAUUCCUGCAUUUUCUUUUUUCUUUUCAGUUUUUGCUCUUGCCCCAGGAUGCUCACAAAUGACAUCACUAUUUCUUAACAGAUACAUUCUUUUAUCCAGGGCCUGCUACAUUACAUUCAUGUUAAAGCUAUUUACACAGAUAAUUUC